rnacentral:rRNA from 1 species
UUAAGACCCGUAUGAAUGGUUAAAUGAAUAUUUAACUGUCUCCUUUAACUAAUCAGUGAAACUGAUCUUUCAGUACAAAAGCUGAAAUAAUAACAUAAGACGAGAAGACCCCGUGGAGCUUAAAACUUUUAACAAAAUAUUAUAAAGCACAUAUUUAUGCCAUAAAGUUUUUAGUUGGGGCGACUUUGGAGCAAAACCCAACCUCCAAGAAAAGGCACCGCCUACACCAAGGCCCACAAGCCAAACUACAAAGACCCAGUAUCAAAUACUGAUCAACGAACCAAGUUACCCCAGGGAUAACAGCGCCAUCUUCUUCAAGAGUUCAUAUCGACAAGAAGGUUUACGACCUCGAUGUUGGAUCAGGACACCCAAAUGGUGCAGCCGCUAUUAAAGGUUCGUUUGUUCAACGAUUAACAGU